rnacentral:misc_RNA from 1 species
GAUGAAGAACGCAGCGAAAUGCGAUAAGUAGUGUGAAUUGCAGAAUUCAGUGAAUCAUCGAAUCUUUGAACGCACAUUGCGCCCGCUAGUAUUCUAGCGGGCAUGCCUGUUCGAGCGUCAUUUCAACCAUCAAGCCCCAGGCUUGUGUUGGAGCCCUGCGGCCGUCCGCAGGCUCCUAAAAUCAGUGGCGGGCUCGCUAUCACACCGAGUGCAGUAGUUUACUCUUCGCUCAGGACGUGUAGCGGGUUCCGGCCGUGAAACCCCCCAAUUUUCAAGGUUGACCUCGGAUCAGGUAGGAAUACCCGCUGAACUUAAGCAUAUCAAUAAGCGGAGGA